CUAUUUUAUCUCAGCGCACGGCGUGAAGAGUAUGGCGCAAGUGAGUUUAGGGCGUGUCCAAAUCCACUUUUGCUAGUUUGACAGGGGAAAAAAAGGGUCUGUACGCCAGACGCAUGGUUCAAAAGGGUU